CUGCGGAAGGAUCAUUACCGAGUGAGGGCCCUCUGGGUCCAACCUCCCACCCAUGUUUAUUGUACCUUGUUGCUUCGGCGGGCCCGCCUCACGGCCGCCGGGGGGCUUCUGCCCUCUGGCCCGCGCCCGCCGAAGACACCAUUGAACACUGUCUGAAGAUUGCAGUCUGAGCAAUUAGCUAAAUAAGUUAAAACUUUCAACAACGGAUCUCUUGGUUCCGGCAUCGAUGAAGAACGCAGCGAAAUGCGAUACGUAAUGUGAAUUGCAGAAUUCAGUGAAUCAUCGAGUCUUUGAACGCACAUUGCGCCCCUUGGUAUUCCGGGGGGCAUGCCUGUCCGAGCGUCAUUGCUGCCCUCAAGCACGGCUUGUGUGUUGGGCCCCGUCCUCCUUCCCGGGGGACGGGCCCGAAAGGCAGCGGCGGCACCGCGUCCGGUCCUCGAGCGUAUGGGGCUUUGUCACCCGCUCUUGUAGGCCCGGCCGGCGCUUGCCGACAACCAUCAAUCUUUUUUCAGGUUGACCUCGGAUCAGGUAGGGAUACCCGCUGAACUUAAGCAUAUCAAUAAGCGGAGGAAAAGAAACCAACAGGGAUUGCCUCAGUAACGGCGAGUGAAGCGGCAAGAGCUCAAAUUUGAAAGCUGGCCCCCUCGGGGUCCGCAUUGUAAUUUGCAGAGGAUGCUUCGGGAGUGGCCCCCAUCUAAGUGCUCUGGAACGGGCCGUCAUAGAGGGUGAGAAUCCCGUAUGGGAUGGGGUGUCCGCGA
rnacentral:rRNA from 1 species